GACGAACGCUGGCGGCGUGCUUAACACAUGCAAGUCGAACGGAAGGGCCCUGCUUUUGUGGGGUGCUCGAGUGGCGAACGGGUGAGUAACACGUGAGUAACCUGCCCUUGACUUUGGGAUAACUUCAGGAAACUGGGGCUAAUACCGGAUAGGAGCUCCUGCUGCAUGGUGGGGGUUGGAAAGUUUCGGCGGUUGGGGAUGGACUCGCGGCUUAUCAGCCUGUUGGUGGGGUAGUGGCUUACCAAGGCUUUGACGGGUAGCCGGCCUGAGAGGGUGACCGGCCACAUUGGGACUGAGAUACGGCCCAGACUCCUACGGGAGGCAGCAGUGGGGAAUAUUGCACAAUGGGCGGAAGCCUGAUGCAGCAACGCCGCGUGCGGGAUGACGGCCUUCGGGUUGUAAACCGCUUUCGCCUGUGACGAAGCGUGAGUGACGGUAAUGGGUAAAGAAGCACCGGCUAACUACGUG
rnacentral:rRNA from 1 species